AUGCCUCUUUCAAAAUUCAAACUACCACUGGUAGCAAAGUAAAUAAGAAAGAAUAACAAAUAAAAGCUCUCUACAUAAGGAAAGGAUAAUGGCCAUAUUUCUCCAGACAAGUCAAGAUUAACUACCUGAUUCUCUUUUUUCUCACAGCUUUUCAGUCUUCAUCUAUAAAUAAAGGUCCACAGAGGACUUCCAAGGUAUGAAAUCUCCUCUCUCCUAACACGCUCACUCCUCUUCUGUUGUCAGAUUUCUGACUUGAGCAUCAGAGGGUCUCCGUCGAAGCCACCUUCGAUUAAAAACUUUUCUUGCAGGUCCUGCCACUGCCAUCCGACCGUCGCUGACCUACCAUCACCACCCAACUCUAGC
rnacentral:lncRNA from 1 species